rnacentral:lncRNA from 1 species
GCCAAAUGAAUAUAAAUUCAACAAGCAACAUUUUCUAUUCUUCCCGGGGAAUUAGAGAUCCGGCCCCAUUGCCAUAUUUAGUCCGCAUAGUAGCUUCGGAGAUGUACCACCACUGGUAAUAAAUCAUACACUGCUCAACAUUGCUAUCGCUAAUUGCUUGCAUACCUCAAAUUCCAAAUGAUGUUUCUGUGAACUGAAGGGCAUUGAGUUUAUGGAGCUUCCCAAGAAGGACGAUCUGGAGAACGGAAAAGGCAGGUAGGCUUCAGUGAUAGCUAUAUGAACGCUGUCAUAAUCCGCUUCUGUGGAACCAUGAUUGGGGACCAAAAUACAUAUGAACGCUGAGUAAUCCUUUUCAAAAUUUCCAAAGGAGCUGUAACAUCAACCUUUAUGGAUUGUUAUCUCUGAAUCACCUUUUAGGAUAGGUGUAGUGGAAGAUGUUAAGAGUCUCUUUUCCCACGAGUGGAACUGAGCUAGCUACGGAAAUUUCUAUGCUUCUUCCGGAUUCUGAUUCUAAAGAAACCAAACAAAAGUAAACCAGAAUGGUUCUCAUCAAGGCCUUGUUUAGUUCACCCCAAAAAUCAUAAUCUUUUCAAGAUUCCCCGUCACAUCAAAUCUUACGCCACAUGCAUUGAGUAUUAAAUAUAGACGAAAAUAAAAACUAAUUACACAGUUUACCUGUAAAUCACGAGAUGAAUCUUUUAAGCCCUAGUUACUCU